GUGGACAGUAAAUCCUUUUACUGAGACUGUAGCUUUUCAGGCUUCUUACUUUAUUAGGGGUCUCAGUUCCAAUUUUCCAGCUUAUUCAGGCUGAAUAUCUAGUCUUCUGUUCCCUGCAAGGCCAUUAAAACUCCAGCUUGUUUCAGCGAUUGGCAGAUGCUCUCAGGAUAGCUUUGGUUCAGCACGAACUCCCUCUUCAGUUUGGCACCUGGUGACUUCCCUUACUUCCAGAUGAUCUACCUCCUUGUCGCCUGUACCCAGGGGCAACUGCUCUCACCAGGCCUCCCCACUUGGUAUGUCACUGCUGUCAUUUUGUCCAUCGUGUGCCAUUUAAUUGCUCAUUCAAAAUCUUUCUUAUAGAACUUCAAUCACUGUGAGAUCAUUUCUCUGCUGAUUAAGGAGGUUGAACAUACUUUCAUGUGCUUAUU
rnacentral:lncRNA from 10 species